rnacentral:rRNA from 1 species
AUGAACGCUGGCGGCGUGCCUAAUACAUACACGUCGAGCGAACAGACGAGGAGCUUGCUCCUCUGACGUUAGCGGCGGACGGGUGAGUAACACGUGGAUAACCUACCUAUAAGACUGGGAUAACUUCGGGAAACCGGAGCUAAUACCGGAUAAUAUAUUGAACCGCAUGGUUCAAUAGUGAAAGACGGUUUUGCUGUCACUUAUAGAUGGAUCCGCGCCGCAUUAGCUAGUUGGUAAGGUAACGGCUUACCAAGGCAACGAUGCGUAGCCGACCUGAGAGGGUGAUCGGCCACACUGGAACUGAGACACGGUCCAGACUCCUACGGGAGGCAGCAGUAGGGAAUCUUCCGCAAUGGGCGAAAGCUUGACGGAGCAACGCCGCGUGAGUGAUGAAGGUCUUCGGAUCGUAAAACUCUGUUAUUAGGGAAGAACAAAUGUGUAAGUAACUAUGCACGUCUUGACGGUACCUAAUCAGAAAGCCACGGCUAACUACGUG